UAUGUAUGCAUUUUCUUUGUUUUGUGUCGAUGUACCUUGGUGAAUGUGUUCACCUAGCUUUCGUGUUUUUCUUCUGUAUUAAAAGUCUAGUGCAUAGCCGGGCUUGGUGGCGCACACCUUUAAUCCCAGUACUCAGGAGGCAGAGACAGGCGAAUUUCUGAGUUCAAGGCCAGCCUGGUCUAUAAAGUGAGUUCCAGGACAGUCAGGGCUAUACAGAGAAACCCUGCCUCCAAAAACCAAAAACAAACAAACAAACAAACAAACAAACAAAAAAGUCUGGUUCUUGAUUGGAAAAAACCCAAAACAUUCAGAAACACACUCUCUCUGUGUUGGUGUCUGUUUGUCAUCCAUGCCAACUCCUUGCUCGCCUGUAACCAGAAUUCCGAGUUUUCCUGCAGAUCGAGGACCAGACUGAGGUCCGUCUGCAGCACCUGAAGGCAUUCCAGAAGGGUUUAACUGAGGAAGGAAGACCCACUCUAAAGAGUAGGCAGCACCAUCCCACCACCUGGGGUCCCAGACAAAAUAAAAAGGAGGCGCUGAACUGAGCACCAAUGUUCAUCUCUGUUUCCUGACUGUAGAUGGAGAUGCCCACCUACACCCCCUCCUGCCAUUAUAGACUGGGCCCUUAAAAUGCCAGCCAAAGUAAAACCAACCAGCCUUUCUCCCUCCCUCCCUCCCUCCCUCCCUUCCCUCCCUCCCUCCCUCCCUCCCUUCCUUCCUUCCUUCCUUCCUUCCUUCCUUCCACCUUCCUCCUUCUUUCUUUCUUUCUUUCUUUCUUUCUUUCUUUCUUUCUUUCUUUCUUUUUUCUUUUUUUUGUGAAUGUAAAACAUUUAAUUUAAAAAUGUUGAACACUACAAUAUAUAAAAUAGCUAUUAUAAAUGCACAUAGUGUAUUCUAUAGCUGCCAGGUUUACUUUUUAUUUUUAAAGGAAACUGUUACACUGUGGCUAAAACUUGUAUCUUCAACCUUUGAAAAAGCCCACAUUCUAUCACAGUGAUGUAUGGUUAAACACUUGGAUCAAGUCAUAACCAGUUUUAUUGCAAAAGGACCCUGUACACAUUUAUCAAUUCUAGUACCUUAAUAGCUACCCAACAAGUCAUUAACAUACAGAAACAUGCACCAUGAAAAGCAAGAAGUAUCACCCAUCCCUUCUGCGUAUUAGCAACUUGUCACUCCUGAGCCACAGUGCUCACAUCACUGAGGUCUGUGAACAGUCAGUCACUCUUUCCAUUCAUCCUGAGUGAAAGAUGGAAUGACUUACGUACAAAUGCAACAUAUUAUAAACAAUUUCUUACAAAAAAAGUCACAAAUUAAACCAAAGUAUUUUACAGAAUUUACUACAAAAUGCCAUAAAAACCGCCUCAACUUAAGCUGCCCCCCCCCCCCCCGGAUCCGGCGAGCCAACUGGAUUGUCUUUGGGCAUGAUGGUGACUCACUUGGCGUGGAUGGCACACAGAUUGGUAUCUUCAAACAACCCCACCAGGUAUGCUUCGCUAGCCUCCUGAAGGGCACCGAUGGCUGCACUUUGAAACCUCAAGUCAGUUUUGAAAUCCUGGGCGAUCUCCCUCACCAAUCUCUGGAAUGGCAGCUUCCGGAUGAGCAGCUCAGUCGAUUUCUGGUAACGAAGGAUCUCUCUCAGAGCCACGGUCCCUGGCCUGUAGCGGUGAGGCUUCUUCACCCUGCCGGUAGAGGGCGCGCUUUUCCGAGCCGCCUUAGUGGCCAGCUGUUUGGGGGGGGGGGGGCUUUCCCACCGGUGGACUUCCUAGCGGUCUGCUUGGUUCGGGCCAUUUUUUUUUCACCCAAAGCCGAGUCUGGGGCCCUUGCUGAGACCGAGGCGAUGCUGGAAGCGCUCGAACAAUAGCCGCAAUCAGCUUUCUUUAGCCAUUUAGUCAGUGAUGAAGAAAGUCACCAACACUUGGUAUAACCAAUACUGGAUCAUGGGAGGUUCCCUAACCUCUCUUGGGUUUAGGUUCAGUUCACUGAUCUGUAGAAAUAGGAAUUAUUUUCUGCCGGGUGUGGUGGCAUAUGCCUUUAAUCCCAGCAUUUGGGAGGCAGAGGCAGGCGGAUUUCUGAGUUCGAGGCCAGCCUGGUCUACAGAGUGAGUUCCAGGACAGCCAGGGCUAUACAGAGAAACCCUGUCUCGAAAAACAAACAAACAAAACAAAACCAAACCAAAACAACAAAAAAAGGAAUUAUUUUCUAUCAAAUUACUAAAGUGUUCUGUUGUGGAUAACCCUGGUGCUGUUUGUAUUUCAAAUUUCCUGGAUUCACCACUGGAGGAUUUAGAUUUAUUAGGGCUUGCAAGAUUAGGAUUCUAGAUGAUGCGCCCAGUGACUGAGUUACCCUUGAUUCUGAACUAAGUUUGUGUGGUGUUUUCCUUCACAUGGCAGCUUGACUAGGUUCCAGAGAGAAAGGUAUGACGGCAAAGUGUGGGUUUGCCAGAAAUGCACCCCAAAAGGCUGUGGGGAUUUUGAAGCAUGGGGCUGGUGUGGAGUGACCCACCAGUGGGAACGUAGCGAGCUGGGUGGAGAGAUUUUAGAGUGCUGAGUCAGUCUCCACAAGAUGAGAACUGGCCGGCCAGCUCACUCGCCAGGGCUUGCCAGCAUAGCAUGAAUUGCAUUUUUAAAGAUAUUUCCCGAAACAGUGUUCAGAUAUGUAUGAAGGUGUUUUGUAAACUGUAAAGUUCUAAGGAAUGGUAUUGCUUUAACCUUGCAGAGAUAACGCAACGAAUGAAUUGUGUCCUAAGUGGAAGACUCUAUAUAAUACCAUCAUUAACAGAGGCAGCCUUCCUAGACCAGACUCCCAUAAACACCAAGCUGAGAAGAAAGAGAUACAGAAACAAAGUUAAAGUUCACUGUUGGAAAACCAUGUAUUUUAUAUAGCCCUCAAGGGGGUGGGUUCGAAUGAGCUCACACAGGCAAGAAAAAGACUAUAACUCAGCUCCCCCCAUCUAAGCCUUUUGAUGUGUGUGUGAUUCAUGAGCUGUGACACACAUGUUACAGCCCUUAGUGGUGCCUCACUAGUAGUAAUUCUUUUAACAGGGGAUAAGGUGAAGGCGAUAAGUUACACAAUGCUCUUCUUCAGUUUAGACUUCUGGGAGCUGGGAACAUGGCCUUGCUCUGUCCUGGCUGGCCUUGACCUCACCCAGCUUAACCUCAGCACCAAGUGAAUGAAGGCAACCAGGGAUGGGAUUCUAAAGUGGGCACUAAGGAAGGGCAGGGUGUUCUUGGGUUCUGAUAGGGAAUUUACUAACCUUUAACCAAACCUGAUUGCCUCUUUCUGUUAUAGAGGCAGGCAACACACUACAGUGGAUCAGUUCUGGGAUCCUGUCAUCAGCAGAUGCCGCUUAAGUAUCUCUGCGUGUGCAAGGGUGCAGGAACCCAGUAACCCGUGGCCGCUGGCAGCUACAGGUGGUGCCUGACAAGAGGCCUGAAAGCAGAAAGGACGACUGGGGGUACACUGUCUUGGUGGGGCUCCAUGGAAAACAGAAGAAGAUGUAUCUUGCAUGAUGCUGUCUCCUAUUCUGAGAAUGCUGCAGGAGCACACUAGCUGCCAGAAUGAUUCCUGUGACAUUCUGACCCAUAGGCUUGCUGAGUGCUCUGACGAUGGUGACAGGAAAGCUGUAUUGGGUAUGUGUUCUUGACUCACCUUUGCUUGCCUGUGUCCCAGAUUAGACAAGCUAAGUUGCCUUGCUUCAAGCUUUUAAACAUUGUGGGACAAAGAACAUAGAGACUGUGAAAACUGAUUUAGAAAAAUUAAUCAAGAGGACUUAUAAUGACUUUUCUCUUUCCUUUAAUGUGACCAGUUAUUCUGACUCAAUCAUGGACUGAUCUAGAAAUAAAUCCAAUAUUGAAGAUUCCUAUUAUGAAGAUAGCUAAAACUCUUUAUCAGCCAGCAGAGUUAACUUGGAGCACAGCCUCCACUAUUUACAUGAGAACUAACAGUUUUUCUGUUGAUUCUCAAAGCCACCUCCUUCACUCUGGGAGGCCAGACUUGGGUCUGAUUGUUGCUAAUUUGCAACUGAAUUAAGUGCCUGGGACAUCCCCACAGACAACCUUAAUCCUGUUGCUUUCAACUUUGACUUUCUAGUUCAAGAAGAUCAGUUACCUCCAAACAGGCUCGUCUUCAGCAAAGCUCAGAUGGCAGUGAUUCAUUGUUAUGAAGAGAUGAAUUGAGUGCAUAUAGUGGCUUUGGUCUGAAUGGGAAAAAAGUGUGCAUUGAGGGCUGGAAGCCAAAGAUGGGCCACUGAUGAUGCGAUGACUCUUAUCAACCUAAGACAGAGGCAUGUGCCAAAAGGCCGUGUUUGUUCAUAAUAAACACUAAAAUGCCAUAUUUGUGCAAAUAAACACAAACAAGCUGCACGUGUUCUCCAGGACGGGUCAGAAGGAGUAUAGACAUUCAGACCUAAGCCAGGCACAGCCACUAGCCACCAUAAUCCCCAGGCAGGACCAUGGAGCAUAAGUAAAUUUUAUGCCCCAGUCCAGCUAAGUUUUAAUAAAUAAAAAGGGAGGAAUUGUGCCCCUCCCCAGCCUUGAGCAGGCUGGCUCAGACCUGGUUUGCCACAGUUGCUAGCCCACCUAGGGUGGAGUCUUUCAACCUAGGUAAAGUCUAUUGUCCUACCACAUCUGCAGUUUCCUCCAAGACGCCAUUACCUGCUGAGAGGCUGAACCUGUUCUCCUGACACUAUCCAGACAAUGCAAGGAGAUCCUGGCAUGGUGGGGGGAUGGGUUCCCCCCUUUCUAAGCUCAGACUCAUAAGUAAACAUUGAGCCUUGAUCAGA